ACAAAGUGACUGACUCUAAUUCGG
rnacentral:siRNA from 1 species